UACGGAGGGUGCAAGCGUUGUUCGGAAUUACUGGGCGUAAAGCGUGUCAAGGUGGUUCUGCAAGUCAGAUGUGAAAUCCCCCGGCUUAACUGGGGAGGGUCGUUUGAAACUGCAGAUCUUGAGUGUCGGAGAGGUGAGCGGAAUUCCCAGUGUAGAGGUGAAAUUCGUAGAGAUUGGGAGGAACAUCGGAGGCGAAAGCGGCUCACUGGCCGAUUACUGACACUGCCACACGAAAGCGUGGGGAGCAAACAGG
rnacentral:rRNA from 1 species